CUCUGUGACUCCUACGGGGAGGCAGCAGUGGGGAAUAUUGCACAAUCGGGGGAAGCCCUGAUGCAGCCAUGCCGCGUGUGUGAAGAAGGCCUUCGGGUUGUAAAGCACUUUCAGUAGGGAGGAAGGUAGUCGUAGUUAACACCUGCACUAUUUGACGUUACCUACAGAAGAAGCACCGGCUAACUCCGUGCCAGCAGCCGCGGUAAUACGGAGGGUGCGAGCGUUAAUCGGAAUUACUGGGCGUAAAGCGCAUGCAGGCGGCCUGUUAAGUCAGAUGUGAAAGCCCGGGGCUUAACCUCGGAAUUGCAUUUGAAACUGGCAGGCUAGAGUCUUGUAGAGGGGGGUAGGAAUUUCAGGUGUAGCGGUGAAAUAGCGUAGAGAUCUGAAGGAAUACCAGUGGCGAAGGCGGCCCCCUGGACAAAGACUGACGCUCAGAUGCGAAAGCGUGGGGAGCAAACAGGAUUAGAUACCCUGGUAG
rnacentral:rRNA from 1 species